rnacentral:sRNA from 15 species
AACCAAAAUGCUAAUGUUAACAAAGUCGCGAUGGCAUCCUACGAAUGGAUUGCUUCUAAUGCAGCUUUAGCUUCGAUACAUGAUAA